GCAGGAAGCCGUAAAACCUAAUAAUAAUUGCAGUAUAGUGUGAAACAAUCCGGUAAGGAGAACAAAGUAAUUUGCAUAAUUCGACAGAUGCGGGUAGCAGAUGACACGACAAUUAUAUCACUGAUAUAUAUAUUAAAUUACGGAUAUCCUGGUGAUAAACGUCUUGACAAAGAGACAAAGGAAGUAAACUUACUCAUCCGCGGUUAGUUGUACUCGUUCAUAAUUUAAAUAGAUAUGCAGUACAUUAUUACAUGUGUUCAAACAUUAGACUGAAGAUGUCGGAGAAAAAGUUUAUCAAAAAGCGUCACAUUUUGAUAUUUAUAUUGUUGAUCGUGUUGUUGCAUCUGGUAUUAUAUGUAACAGCUAAAUUAAGAUUUAAUGAAAAUGGAUUAAAGAAACCUAUCAUUUUGUUGGCAGUUUACUCACAAUCGAAAGAGAUUUCAAUCAUCAAUUUUAGAAGUUUGUUUGAGCGUUUGUUUGCCAACGGUUCUACGUUUGGACGGAAGAAAAUGCACAUUGAGACAAAAACGGUCAGUUUGGUGAAUGAAACGGAUUUAGCAACGAUGGUGGAUAGAUGAAAGCUUUCUCUGAUAAAAAAUGAAUAUAUAAAGAACUAUAGCGCGAGGACUUUUGUAGUCGGGAGACCUUUUAAAAAUGCACAUCUAAUGGUUUCUGUAAAACGGUAUUGAGAAGUCGUCAGUCUUGAAAAAAAAUGGAACGUAUUCUUUAUGUAUGACCUGUACUUGUUGGAAGGUUCCAAACAUCUACAGAUAACUUGUUAUGGCGACAAGGAGCAAAUGAUGAACAGUACCAAUUCAAGUCAGGAAGUAACUGCAUACAAAAGAUCGUGACAGUUAAUCUGCACUGAUUGAAAUAACGGACAAUCUCCAAAAAACAAUUUGAGCAAGUAAUACCGUCAAGGCACGCUGUCGGGAUGAAAUCUAUUAAGAAUUGUUGAGCUGUAAAUGUUAAUCAAAAACCACUAGCUGAUCUGCAGACACUGCUAAGUACACGUUUGAUAACCAAAAUAGUAUUCCAAUGGAUUAAACUUUCUGUUUGAUGAACCUAAUACCUAACAUGUUUUUUUCGUAAUAUGCGGCUUUAUUUUAGAUAUUUUAGACUUGAAUCAUUCUAAACGUCUCUGAGGGAGGCAGUAGGAUCUCUUUUCAUUUGUAAUCACGUAAAAACCGAAGAAAAUCGCAAUUAGAAAGGUUUUAGAAUUUUCACAUUUGUUUGUAUGGAGCCUAGUCUUGUGUGCUAACUAAAAUGUCCUGAAAGUUUUAAAACAAUCCAUUCACAGUACAGAAAGACGAACAGGAAUAAAAAAAAAAUAGUUGAAAUUUGCAAUGGAAUAAUACCAUAUCAAAAUUUCUACUUCCAAAUUUGUUGGAUGUAUUAUAUCAAUGAUAUUGUUUAUAUUUAAAGAGAUAUCAAAGGAAAACUUUAUUUCGGAAAAGGUGGAUCAAACAGUGACAUAUCAAUUGUACGAAAAUAAAGUGAAGUUGAUGUACACCUAGCACGCCAAAGGUCCAGGGAAACUUCCGGAACUGAAACGUCUGCUGCAUUUUGCAUUAUUUUCCAACAGUUAUCUGGGGGCAUCGCACAUAUGGCGUACUGGUGGCGACUAUAAUAAACCUUAGUACAAACAAAUGGAUAUACCACAUUUGAAUAGCGCAAAAUAUAUACGUUUUAUAUGAUAUUUAUAAGCAUUAACAGUGUCAUAAUUAUGCAUCAUUAGAUUUACAAUAAAGGUAAUUACAUGUU
rnacentral:lncRNA from 1 species